GCCCUGCUGACGAGUGCCAAAUAGUACGAAACCCGUGUCCAGGAC
rnacentral:hammerhead_ribozyme from 1 species